rnacentral:rRNA from 1 species
UACAGAGGUCUCAAGCGUUGUUCGGAUUCAUUGGGCGUAAAGGGUGCGUAGGCGGCGCGGUAAGUCGGGUGUGAAAUCUCCGAGCCUAACUCGGAAACUGCGUCGGAUACUAUUCAUCUCGAGGAAUGGAGGGGAGACUGGAAUUCUCGGUGUAGCAGUGAAAUGCGUAGAUAUCGAGAGGAACACCAGUGGCGAAGGCGAGUCUCUGGACAUUUCCUGACGCUGAGGCACGAAAGCCAGGGGAGCAAACGGG